UGGGGAAUUUUGGACAAUGGGCGCAAGCCUGAUCCAGCAAUGCCGCGUGCAGGAAGAAGGCCUUCGGGUUGUAAACUGCUUUUGUACGGAACGAAAAGGUCUGCCCUAAUACGGCGGGCCGAUGAGGGUACGGUAAGAAUAAGAACCGGCUAACUCCGUGCCAGCAGCCGCGGUAAUACGGAGGGAGCUAGCGUUGUUCGGAAUUACUGGGCGUAAAGCGUGCGCAGGCGGUUUUGUAAGACAGAGGUGAAAUCCCCGGGCUCAACCUGGGAACUGCAUUUGUGACUGCAUAGCUGGAGUGCGGCAGAGGGGGAUGGAAUUCCGCGUGUAGCAGUGAAAUGCGUAGAUAUGCGGAGGAACACCGAUGGCGAAGGCAAUCCCCUGGGCCUGCACUGACGCUCAUGCACGAAAGCGUGGGGAGCAAACA
rnacentral:rRNA from 1 species